rnacentral:rRNA from 1 species
AUUGAACGCUGGCGGCAGGCCUAACACAUGCAAGUCGAACGAGAGGCGGACGGGUGAGUAAUGUAUGGGAAACUGCGUGAUGGAGGGGGAUAACUACUGGGAACGGUAGCUAAUACCGCAUACCAUCGGAUGUGCCCAGAUGGGAUUAGCUAGGCGGUGGGGUAAAGGCUCACCUAGGCGACGAUCCCUAGCUGGUCUGAGAGGAUGACCAGCCACACUGGAACUGAGACACGGUCCAGACUCCUACGGGAGGCAGCAGUGGGGAAUAUUGGACAAUGGGCGAAAGCCUGAUGCAGCCAUGCCGCGUGUGUGAAGAAGGCCUUCGGAUUGUAAAGUACUUUCAGCUGGGAGGCGUUACCCGCAGAAUAAGCACCGGCUAACUCCGUGCCAGCAGCCGCGGUAAUAC